rnacentral:rRNA from 1 species
CACGGAGCUUGCUCUGUGGGAUCAGUGGCGAACGGGUGAGUAACACGUGAGCAACCUGCCCCUGACUCUGGGAUAAGCGCUGGAAACGGCGUCUAAUACUGGAUACGAGUAGCGACCGCAUGGUCAGUUACUGGAAAGAUUUAUUGGUUGGGGAUGGGCUCGCGGCCUAUCAGCUUGUUGGUGAGGUAAUGGCUCACCAAGGCGUCGACGGGUAGCCGGCCUGAGAGGGUGACCGGCCACACUGGGACUGAGACACGGCCCAGACUCCUACGGGAGGCAGCAGUGGGGAAUAUUGCACAAUGGGCGCAAGCCUGAUGCAGCAACGCCGCGUGAGGGAUGACGGCCUUCGGGUUGUAAACCUCUUUUAGCAGGGAAGAAGCGAAAGUGACGGUACCUGCAGAAAAAGCGCCGGCUAACUACGUGCCAGCAGCCGCGGUAAUACGUAGGGCGCAAGCGUUAUCCGGAAUUAUUGGGCGUAAAGAGCUCGUAGGCGGUUUGUCGCGUCUGCUGUGAAAUCCGGAGGCUCAACCUCCGGCCUGCAGUGGGUACGGGCAGACUAGAGUGCGGUAGGGGAGAUUGGAAUUCCUGGUGUAGCGGUGGAAUGCGCAGAUAUCAGGAGGAACACCGAUGGCGAAGGCAGAUCUCUGGGCCGUAACUGACGCUGAGGAGCGAAAGGGUGGGGAGCAAACAGGCUUAGAUACCCUGGUAGUCCACCCCGUAAACGUUGGGAACUAGUUGUGGGGUCCAUU